rnacentral:rRNA from 1 species
UCGGGGUACUCGAGUGGCGAACGGGUGAGUAACACGUGGGUGAUCUGCCCUGCACUUUGGGAUAAGCCUGGGAAACUGGGUCUAAUACCGAAUAGGACCGCAUGCUUCAUGGUGUGUGGUGGAAAGCUUUUGCGGUGUGGGAUGGGCCCGCGGCCUAUCAGCUUGUUGGUGAGGUAAUGGCUUACCAAGGCGACGACGGGUAGCCGGCCUGAGAGGGUGACCGGCCACACUGGGACUGAGAUACGGCCCAGACUCCUACGGGAGGCAGCAGUGGGGAAUAUUGCACAAUGGGCGCAAGCCUGAUGCAGCGACGCCGCGUGAGGGAUGACGGCCUUCGGGUUGUAAACCUCUUUCGCCAGGGACGAAGCGCAAGUGACGGUACCUGGAGAAGAAGGACCGGCCAACUACGUGCCAGCAGCCGCGGUAAUACGUAGGGUCCGAGCGUUGUCCGGAAUUACUGGGCGUAAAGAGCUCGUAGGUGGUUUGUCGCGUUGUUCGUGAAAACUCACAGCUUAACUGUGGGCGUGCGGGCGAUACGGGCAGACUUGAGUACUGCAGGGGAGACUGGAAUUCCUGGUGUAGCGGUGGAAUGCGCAGAUAUCAGGAGGAACACCGGUGGCGAAGGCGGGUCUCUGGGCAGUAACUGACGCUGAGGAGCGAAAGCGUGGGGAGCGAACAGGAUUAGAUACCCUGGUAGUCCACGCCGUAAACGGUGGGUACUAGGUGUGGGUUUCCUUCCUUGGGAUCCGUGCCGUAGCUAACGCAUUAAGUACCCCGCCUGGGGAGUACGGCCGCAAGGCUAAAACUCAAAGAAAUUGACGGGGGCCCGCACAAGCGGCGGAGCAUGUGGAUUAAUUCGAUGCAACGCGAAGAACCUUACCUGGGUUUGACAUGCACAGGACGCCGGCAGAGAUGUCGGUUCCCUUGUGGCCUGUGUGCAGGUGGUGCAUGGCUGUCGUCAGCUCGUGUCGUGAGAUGUUGGGUUAAGUCCCGCAACGAGCGCAACCCUUGUCUCAUGUUGCCAGCACGUUAUGGUGGGGACUCGUGAGAGACUGCCGGGGUCAACUCGGAGGAAGGUGGGGAUGACGUCAAGUCAUCAUGCCCCUUAUGUCCAGGGCUUCACACAUGCUACAAUGGCCGGUACAAAGGGCUGCGAUGCCGUGAGGUGGAGCGAAUCCUUUCAAAGCCGGUCUCAGUUCGGAUCGGGGUCUGCAACUCGACCCCGUGAAGUCGGAGUCGCUAGUAAUCGCAGAUCAGCAACGCUGCGGUGAAUACGUUCCCGGGCCUUGUACACACCGCCCGUCACGUCAUGAAAGUCGGUAACACCCGAAGCCGGUGGU